rnacentral:rRNA from 1 species
CACGGUUUCUGCGACGCAGCUAACGCAUUAAGUGGCCCGCCUGGGGAGUACGAUCGCAAGAUUAAACUCAAAGGAAUUGACGGGGCCCCGGCACAAGCAGCGGAGCAUGCGGCUUAAUUCGACGCAACGCGAAGAACCUUACCAAGGCUUGACAUAUACAGGAAUAUGGCAGAGAUGUCAUAGCCGCAAGGUCUGUAUACAGGUGGUGCAUGGUUGUCGUCAGCUCGUGUCGUGAGAUGUUGGGUUAAGUCCCGCAACGAGCGCAACCCUCGUUCUGUGUUGCCAGCAUUUGGUUGGGGACUCACAGGAGACUGCCGGGGUUAACUCGGAGGAAGGUGGGGAUGACGUCAAAUCAUCAUGCCCCUUAUGUCUUGGGCUGCACGCAUGCUACAAUGGCUGGUACAAACGGCUGCAAUACCGCAAGGUGGAGCGAAUCCGAGAAAGCCAGUCUCAGUUCGGAUUGGGGUCUGCAACUCGACCCCAUGAAGUCGGAGUUGCUAGUAAUCGUAGAUCAGCAACGCUACGGUGAAUACGUUCCCGGGGCUUGUACACACCGCCCGUCACGUCACGAAAGUCGGUAACACCCGAAGUCAGUGGCCCAA